rnacentral:rRNA from 1 species
UUGGAGGGCAAGUCUGGUGCCAGCAGCCGCGGUAAUUCCAGCUCCAAUAGCGUAUAUUAAAGUUGUUGCAGUUAAAAAGCUCGUAGUUGAAUUUCGGGAUUCAUCCGUUGGUCGGGCUUCACGGUCCGUACUGGUGUGAUGGGUUCCUACCUUCUGAAUAACCGGCAUGCCAUUAAUUUGGUGCGCCGGGGAAGCAGAACUAUUACCUUGAAAAAAUUAGAGUGCUUAAAGCAGGCAAGUGCCUGAAUAGGUUAGCAUGGAAUAAUAAAAUAGGACGGCAUGGUUCUAUUUUGUUGGUUUCUAGGAUCACCGUAAUGAUUAAUAGGGAUAGUUGGGGGCAUUAGUAUUCAAUUGUCAGAGGUGAAAUUCUUGGAUUUAUUGAAGACUAACUUCUGCGAAAGCAUUUGCCAAGGAUGUUUUCAUUAAUCAAGAACGAAAGUUAGGGGAUCGAAGACGAUCAGAUACCGUCGUAGUCUUAACCAUAAACUAUGCCGACUAGGGAUCGGACGAUGUUAAUUUUUCUUGACUCGUCCGGCGCCUUACGGGAAAC